rnacentral:rRNA from 1 species
UACGAAGGGGGCUAGCGUUGCUCGGAAUCACUGGGCGUAAAGGGUGCGUAGGCGGGUCUUUAAGUCAGGGGUGAAAUCCUGGAGCUCAACUCCAGAACUGCCUUUGAUACUGAAGAUCUUGAGUCCGGGAGAGGUGAGUGGAACUGCGAGUGUAAGAGGUGAAAUUCGUAGAUAUUCGCAAGAACACCAGUGACGAAGGCGGCUCACUGGCCCGGUACUGACGCUGAGGCACGAAAGCGUGGGGGAGCAAACAGGGUAUUAAGCAAACCCAUA